rnacentral:rRNA from 1 species
GACGAACGCUGGCGGCGUGCUUAACACAUGCAAGUCGAACGGAAAGGCCUCUUUCGGGGGGUACUCGAGUGGCGAACGGGUGAGUAACACGUGAGUAACCUGCCCUUGACUUUGGGAUAACUUCAGGAAACUGGGGCUAAUACCGGAUAGGAGCUCCUGCUGCAUGGUGGGGGUUGGAAAGUUUCGGCGGUUGGGGAUGGACUCGCGGCUUAUCAGCUUGUUGGUGGGGUAGUGGCUUACCAAGGCUUUGACGGGUAGCCGGCCUGAGAGGGUGACCGGCCACAUUGGGACUGAGAUACGGCCCAGACUCCUACGGGAGGCAGCAGUGGGGAAUAUUGCACAAUGGGUGGAAGCCUGAUGCAGCAACGCCGUGUGCGGGGUGACGGCCUUCGGGUUGUAAACCGCUUUCGCUCAUGACGAAGCUUUGUGUGACGGUAGUGGGUAAGGAAGCACCGGCUAACUACGUG